GGGAUUGAAAACUGUGUGCCACUGUUGUUGCUGAUUCUUUCAGCAAGAUUUUUUUUUCCCUUUAAUGUGAGAUUUUAAUUUCCCCUCUAGAAAACUGCUGUUGUGUGUUGUUGUGGCUUCGGCUUGGGCAACAUAUGGUUCCUGUUGGUGCGACACUACCCGUUUCUGAUUUUUAGGAGGGGUUGAAUUUCAUGCCAGUUCAGCAUGAAUAAUCUAAGACAAUAUGAGUCUCCAGCUGAGAGUGAUCACGCACAUGAGCAGUUCGGCACGAGACAACCGUUGGACCCGAUGACGUGUGUCUGCGCAUGGGCUUAGAUAGCCAACGUCGCCAUGACAUCGCCUACAAGCGUGAUUGGGGAUUUCUAAUGGAGAAGCAUGUUCUGCCUAUCUCCAUUCUGUACUGUCUUUGCUACCGUAUUCAAUCAAUUCCAUUCAUUGUGAACAGUACCAAUGUCAGCCACUAGAGGGGGGUGUUGGGUAGGAAAUGGAGCAUUAAAUCAAAUCUAAUUUUAUUUGUCACAUACACAUGUUUAGCAGAUGUUAUUACGGAUGUCGCGAAAUGCUUGUUCCAUUACAGAACUGUGGAAUGGAGCUAAAAUAUAUUUUCUCUUGUAGGUUGGCACUGGGCUGUGAAGUUGUCGUUGCUGGAGCUGUAAUGACAACAAUGUAGAUGCAAAUGAAUAAUGAAAAUGUGAUGAUAGAGUACAGAUCUGUCUGUGUGUCUAAAUGAGGACUAAUUGUUGAUUUGAGGAUACAACCAGGACUCAGGAACAACUGUCAGCAACACUGAAUCAUAAUCAGAGCUGAAUGACUCCUUAAAUAACUCUCAUCAAUUUCACAUUGACUGUAAUGAAGCAUCAACAUCAGGGAAAACCCAUUGGGAACAAACAGCUAGACCUCGUCCAAUGCAACAACAAAAAGCUGGUAUCCGUCUAAACAUGUAGGCUAUUGUAUGUGAUUGUAGGAAAAACAAAUACGAGUUUAGGCCUACAGUGACAUCAUUUGUAGCUGUUAUUCAUUCAAAAUAUUUUGCUGUCAACUUUAAUUUCAUCAAGAGUUGUAGGUAGAUUUCAAUGGCUAACACAUUUGUACAAUUCCUGUUGGAUUUGUAUGUGGGUUUUAACCCAGAAGAUCGAUUGCUUUCAGAUACAAAAUGUGUAUGUUUCACAGCCUACAGCCAGGCCAACUCCUGGCUACUACUCCUCCAGCCCUACUCAUAGUGCUGCGUCUUGUGAACUGGAGACGUGUGUAUGUUUUACAGCCUACAGCCAGGCCAACUCCUGGCUACUACUCCUCCAGCCCUACUCAUAGUGCUGCGUCUUGUGGACUGGAGACGUGUGUAUGUUUUACAGCCUACAGCCAGGCCAACUCCUGGCUACUACUCCUCCAGCCCUACUCAUAGUGCUGCGUCUUGUGGACUGGAGACGUGUGUAUGUUUCACAGCCUACAGCCAGGCCAACUCCUGGCUACUACUCCUCCAGCCCUACUCAUAGUGCUACGUCUUGUGGACUGGAGACGUGUGUAUGUUUCACAGCCUACAGCCAGGCCAACUCCUGGCUACUACUCCUCCAGCCCUACUCAUAGUGCUGCGUCUUGUGGACUGGAGACGUGUGUAUGUUUUACAGCCUACAGCCAGGCCAACUCCUGGCUACUACUCCUCCAGCCCUACUCAUAGUGCUGCGUCUUGUGGACUGGAGACGUGUGUAUGUUUCACAGCCUACAGCCAGGCCAACUCCUGGCUACUACUCCUCCAGCCCUACUCAUAGUGCUGCGUCUUGUGGACUGGUGACGUGUGUAUGUUUCACAGCCUACAGCCAGGCCAACUCCUGGCUACUACUCCUCCAGCCCUACUCAUAGUGCUGCGUCUUGUGGACUGGUGACGUGUGUAUGUUUCACAGCCUACAGCCAGGCCAACUCCUGGCUACUACUCCUCCAGCCCUACUCAUAGUGCUGCGUCUUGUGGACUGGAGACGUGUGUAUGUUUUACAGCCUACAGCCAGGCCAACUCCUGGCUACUACUCCUCCAGCCCUACUCAUAGUGCUGC